CAGAGAAUAGUUUAAAUUUAGAAUUCUAGCUUUGGGAGCUGGGGGUGGGAGUUAAAAUCUCCUUUCUUUGA
rnacentral:tRNA from 1 species